GAUGAACGCUAGCGGCAGGCCUAAUACAUGCAAGUCGAGGGGUAGAAGAGGCUUGCUUCUUUGAGACCGGCGCACGGGUGCGUAACGCGUAUGCAACCUACCUUCAUCUGGGGGAUAGCCCGGAGAAAUCCGGAGUAAUACCGCAUAAAAUCACAGGAUGGCAUUAUCCAAUGAUCAAACAUUUAUGGGAUGGAGAUGGGCAUGCGUGUCAUUAGCUAGUUGGCGGGGUAACGGGCCCCCAAGGCGACGAUGAAUAGGGGAUCUGAGAGGAUGGCCCCCCAAACUGGUACUGAGACACGGACCAGACUCCUACGGGAGGCAGCAGUAAGGAAUAUUGGUCAAUGGAGGCAACUCUGAACCAGCCAUGCCGCGUGCAGGAAGACUGCCCUAUGGGUUGUAAACUGCUUUUAUUCGGGAAUAAACCUUAUUACGUGUAAUAAGCUGAAUGUACCGAAGGAAUAAGGAUCGGCUAACUCCGUGCCAGCAGCCGCCGUAA
rnacentral:rRNA from 1 species